rfam:Fusarium fujikuroi IMI 58289 draft genome, chromosome FFTJ_chr10
GGGCGAAUGGUUUAGUGGUAUAAUACUCCCUUAGCAUGUUUUCAACGAGCGUAAUUUGGGAGUGGUCCAGGGUUCGAUUCCCUGUUCGUCCA